rnacentral:rRNA from 1 species
AGAGUUUGAUCAUGGCUCAGAUUGAACGCUGGCGGCAGGCCUAACACAUGCAAGUCGAACGGUAACAGGAAACAGCUUGCUGUUUCGCUGACGAGCGGCGGACGGGUGAGUAAUGUCUGGGAAACUGCCUGAUGGAGGGGGAUAACUACUGGAAACGGUAGCUAAUACCGCAUAACGUCGCAAGACCAAAGAGGGGGACCUUCGGGCCUCUUGCCAUCGGAUGUGCCCAGAUGGGAUUAGCUUGUUGGUGGGGUAACGGCUCACCAAGGCGACGAUCCCUAGCUGGUCUGAGAGGAUGACCAGCCACACUGGAACUGAGACACGGUCCAGACUCCUACGGGAGGCAGCAGUGGGGAAUAUUGCACAAUGGGCGCAAGCCUGAUGCAGCCAUGCCGCGUGUAUGAAGAAGGCCUUCGGGUUGUAAAGUACUUUCAGCGGGGAGGAAGGGAGUAAAGUUAAUACCUUUGCUCAUUGACGUUACCCGCAGAAGAAGCACCGGCUAACUCCGUGCCAGCAGCCGCGGUAAUACGGAGGGUGCAAGCGUUAAUCGGAAUUACUGGGCGUAAAGCGCACGCAGGCGGUUUGUUAAGUCAGAUGUGAAAUCCCCGGGCUCAACCUGGGAACUGCAUCUGAUACUGGCAAGCUUGAGUCUCGUAGAGGGGGUAGAAUUCCAGGUGUAGCGGUGAAAUGCGUAGAGAUCUGGAGGAAUACCGGUGGCGAAGGCGGCCCCCUGGACGAAGACUGACGCUCAGGUGCGAAAGCGUGGGGAGCAAACAGGAUUAGAUACCCUGGUAGUCCACGCCGUAAACGAUGUCGACUUGGAGGUUGUGCCCUUGAGGCGUGGCUUCCGGAGCUAACGCGUUAAGUCGACCGCCUGGGGAGUACGGCCGCAAGGUUAAAACUCAAAUGAAUUGACGGGGGCCCGCACAAGCGGUGGAGCAUGUGGUUUAAUUCGAUGCAACGCGAAGAACCUUACCUGGUCUUGACAUCCACGGAAGUUUUCAGAGAUGAGAAUGUGCCUUCGGGAACCGUGAGACAGGUGCUGCAUGGCUGUCGUCAGCUCGUGUUGUGAAAUGUUGGGUUAAGUCCCGCAACGAGCGCAACCCUUAUCCUUUGUUGCCAGCGGUCCGGCCGGGAACUCAAAGGAGACUGCCAGUGAUAAACUGGAGGAAGGUGGGGAUGACGUCAAGUCAUCAUGGCCCUUACGACCAGGGCUACACACGUGCUACAAUGGCGCAUACAAAGAGAAGCGACCUCGCGAGAGCAAGCGGACCUCAUAAAGUGCGUCGUAGUCCGGAUUGGAGUCUGCAACUCGACUCCAUGAAGUCGGAAUCGCUAGUAAUCGUGGAUCAGAAUGCCACGGUGAAUACGUUCCCGGGCCUUGUACACACCGCCCGUCACACCAUGGGAGUGGGUUGCAAAAGAAGUAGGUAGCUUAACCUUCGGGAGGGCGCUUACCACUUUGUGAUUCAUGACUGGGGUGAAGUCGUAACAAGGUAACCGUAGGGGAACCUGCGGUUGGAUCACCU